GCCUACGGCCAUACCACGUUGAACACACCGGUUCUCGUCCGAUCACCGAAGUUAAGCAAUGUCGGGCCCGGUUAGUACUUGGAUGGGUGACCGCCUGGGAACACAGGGUGCUGUAGGCA
rnacentral:rRNA from 1 species